AACGCUAGCGGCAGGCUAACACAUGCAAGUCGAGGGAGAGGUUACCUUCGGGUAACUGAAACCGGCGCACGGGUGCGUAACGCGUAUACAAUCUGCCUUUCACAUAGGGAUAGCCCGAAGAAAUUUGGAUUAAUACCUAAUGGUAUAUAAGAGCGGCAUCGUUUUUAUAUUAAAGCUACGGUGGUGAAAGAUGAGUAUGCGUUCUAUUAGCUAGUUGGAGAGGUAACGGCUCCCCAAGGCGACGAUAGAUAGGGGUUCUGAGAGGGAUGUCCCCCACACUGGUACUGAGAUACGGACCAGACUCCUACGGGAGGCAGCAGUGAGGAAUAUUGGACAAUGGUCGGAAGACUGAUCCAGCCGUGCCGCGUGCAGGAUGAAGGUCCUAUGGAUUGUAAACUGCUUUUGUAAGGGAAGAAUAAGGGGUACGUGUACUUUGAUGACGGUACCUUACGAAUAAGCAUCGGCUAACUCCGUGCCAGCAGCCGCGGUAAUACGGAGGAUGCGAGCGUUAUCCGGAAUCAUUGGGUUUAAAGGGUCCGUAGGCGGGCUGAUAAGUCAGAGGUGAAAGCGCUUAGCUCAACUAAGCAACUGCCUUUGAAACUGUCAGUCUUGAAUGAUUGUGAAGUAGUUGGAAUGUGUAGUGUAGCGGUGAAAUGCUUAGAUAUUACACAGAACACCGAUAGCGAAGGCAUAUUACUAACAAUUUAUUGACGCUGAUGGACGAAAGCGUGGGGAGCGAACAGGAUUAGAUACCCUGGUAGUCCACGCUGUAAACGAUGGAUACUAGCUGUUUGGAGCAAUCUGAGUGGCUAAGCGAAAGUGAUAAGUAUCCCACCUGGGGAGUACGCA
rnacentral:rRNA from 1 species